rnacentral:rRNA from 1 species
AUUGAACGCUGGCGGCAGGCCUAACACAUGCAAGUCGAGCGGAUGAGAGGAGCUUGCUUCUUGAUUCAGCGGCGGACGGGUGAGUAAUGCCUAGGAAUCUGCCUGGUAGUGGGGGACAACGUUUCGAAAGGAACGCUAAUACCGCAUACGUCCUACGGGAGAAAGCAGGGGACCUUCGGGCCUUGCGCUAUCAGAUGAGCCUAGGUCGGAUUAGCUAGUUGGUGAGGUAAUGGCUCACCAAGGCGACGAUCCGUAACUGGUCUGAGAGGAUGAUCAGUCACACUGGAACUGAGACACGGUCCAGCCUCCUACGGGAGGCAGCAGUGGGGAAUAUUGGACAAUGGGCGAAAGCCUGAUCCAGCCAUGCCGCGUGUGUGAAGAAGGUCUUCGGAUUGUAAAGCACUUUAAGUUGGGAGGAAGGGUUGUACGUUAAUACCGUGCAAUUUUGACGUUACCGACAGAAUAAGCACCGGCUAACACUGUGCCAGCCGCCGCCGUAA